rnacentral:rRNA from 1 species
GCCUACGGGGGGCAGCAGUAGGGAAUCUUCCACAAUGGGCGCAAGCCUGAUGGAGCAACACCGCGUGAGUGAAGAAGGGUUUCGGCUCGUAAAGCUCUGUUGUUGGAGAAGAACGUGCGUGAGAGUAACUGUUCACGCAGUGACGGUAUCCAACCAGAAAGUCACGGCUAACUACGUGCCAGCAGCCGCGGUAAUACGUAGGUGGCAAGCGUUAUCCGGAUUUAUUGGGCGUAAAGCGAGCGCAGGCGGUUGGUUAGGUGUUAUGUGAAAUCCUUCGGCUUAACCGAAGAA